CGUAUGACUCUCGACAAUGGAUAUCUCAGCUCUCGCAUCGAUGAAGAACGUAGCGAAAUGCGAUACCUGGUGUGAAUUGCAAAAUCCCAUGAACCACCAAGUCUUUGAACACAUUGCGCCCGAGGCCUCCCGGCCGAGGGCACGCCUGCCUGGGCGUCACGC
rnacentral:rRNA from 1 species